GACGAACCGUGCAAACGUUGUUCGGAAUCACUGGGCAUAAAGGGCGCGUAGGCGGGCGUUCAAGUCAGGGGUGAAAUCCCCCAGCUCAACUGGGGAACUGCCUUUGAUACUGGGCGCCUCGAGUGAGGUAGGGGCGUGCGGAACUGUAGGUGGAGCGGUGAAAUGCGUUGAUAUCUACAGGAACUCCGGUGGCGAAAGCGGCGCGCUGGACCUCUUCUGACGCUGAGGCGCGAAAGCUAGGGGAGCAAACGGG
rnacentral:rRNA from 1 species